rnacentral:rRNA from 1 species
AGUGAACGCUGGCGGUAGGCCUAACACAUGCAAGUCGAACGGCAGCACAGUAAGAGCUUGCUCUUACGGGUGGCGAGUGGCGGACGGGUGAGGAAUACAUCGGAAUCUACUUUUUCGUGGGGGAUAACGUAGGGAAACUUGCGCUAAUACCGCAUACGACCUACGGGUGAAAGCAGGGGAUCUUCGGACCUUGCGCGAUUGAAUGAGCCGAUGUCGGAUUAGCUAGUUGGCGGGGUAAAGGCCCACCAAGGCGACGAUCCGUAGCUGGUCUGAGAGGAUGAUACGCCACACUGGAACUGAGACACGGUCCAGACUCCUACGGGAGGCAGCAGUGGGGAAUAUUGGACAAUAGGCGCAAGCCUGAUCCAGCCAUACCGCGUGGGUGAAGAAGGCCUUCGGGUUGUAAAGCCCUUUUGUUGGGAAAGAAAAGCAGCAGGUUAAUACCCCGCUGUUCUGACGGUACCCAAAGAAUAAGCACCGGCUAACUUCGUG